CGAGGAAUAUUGCGCAAUGGGCGAAAGCCUGACGCAGUAACGCCGCGUGGGGGAAGAAGACCUUCGGGUUGUAAACCUCUUUUUGUAGAGACGAGGGAGGACGGUAUCUAUAGAAUAAGUCUCGGCUAACUACGUGCCAGCAGCCGCGGUAAGACGUAGGAGGCGAGCGUUAUCCGGAAUCACUGGGCGUAAAGGGCAUGUAGGCGGUUGCGCAAGUCGUGUGUUAAAGCCCCUGGCUCAACUAGGGGAGGUCAUGCGAGACUGUGCGGCUAGAGGGCAGGAGAGGCACGUGGAACUCCCGGUGUAGCGGUGGAAUGCGUAGAGAUCGGGAAGAACAUCAGUGGCGAAGGCGACGUGCUGGGCUGCACCUGACGCUGAGAUGCGAAAGUGUGGGGAGCAAACGGGAUUAGAUACCCCCGUAGUCCCUGAGCGGGCUGGCAAGGCGCAU
rnacentral:rRNA from 1 species